GCAGGGACAGGGAGGACCAGGCCCGCUGUACCCGCCAAACCCAUCACCCACGUACUUUUAAGUGAUAACCCGUUUCUCACUCCCGGGCCUCACCUAACCUGUAAAAUGGGAACAGAUUCACUUCCAUUGGCUGCUGCCAGGUUCAGGGAGGGACCCCAGGUUUUGGCCAAAGCCAAUUAAAUGACUUUAGCUCCUGGGCUUGAUACCCGCCUCCCAAGUGGGGGUAUCCAGACCACAAAGCAUGUAGAUGUGUUUGAUUUAAAAAGUACACGGUUGCCGGACGGUGGUGGUUUACGCUUUUAAUCCCAGCACUUAGGAGGCAGAGACAGGCAGAUUUCUGAGUUCGAGGCCAACCUGGUCUACAAAGUGAGUUCCAGGACAGCCAGGGCUACUCAGAGAAACCCUGUCUCGAAAUAAAUAAAUAAAUAAAUAAAUAAAUAAAUAAAUAAAUAAAU
rnacentral:lncRNA from 1 species